UACGGAGGGUGCGAGCGUUGUCCGGAAUCACUGGGCGUAAAGGGCGCGUAGGUGGCGCGGGCAGUCAACGGUGAAAGUUCGGGGCUCAACCCUGAAUCGGCCGUCGAUACUCCCGGGCUUGAGCACUGUAGAGGCAGAUGGAAUUCCUGGUGUAGCGGUGAAAUGCGCAGAUAUCAGGAGGAACACCGGUGGCGAAGGCGGGUCUCUGGGCCGAUAUUGACGCUGAGGAGCGAAAGCGUGGGGAGCGAACAGG
rnacentral:rRNA from 1 species